AGAGUUUGAUCCUGGCUCAGAUUGAACGCUGGCGGCAUGCCUUACACAUGCAAGUCGAACGGCAGCACGGGAGCAAUCCUGGUGGCGAGUGGCGAACGGGUGAGUAAUAUAUCGGAACGUGCCCAGUCGUGGGGGAUAACGUAGAGAAAUUUACGCUAAUACCGCAUACGAUCUAAGGAUGAAAGCGGGGGAUCGCAAGACCUCGCGCGAUUGGAGCGGCUGAUAUCAGAUUAGGUUGUUGGUGAGGUAAAAGCUCACCAAGCCGACGAUCUGUAGCUGGUUUGAGAGAACGACCAGCCACACUGGGACUGAGACACGGCCCAGACUCCUACGGGAGGCAGCAGUGGGGAAUUUUGGACAAUGGGCGAAAGCCUGAUCCAGCAAUGCCGCGUGCAGGAAGAAGGCCUUCGGGUUGUAAACUGCUUUUGUACGGAACGAAACGGUCUGCCCUAAUACGGUGGGCUAAUGACGGUACCGUAAGAAUAAGCACCGGCUAACUACGUGCCAGCAGCCGCG
rnacentral:rRNA from 1 species